rnacentral:rRNA from 1 species
UGCAAGGUUCGAGGCGGGGUAACAAUGUCUUCGGACAGUUGGACGACCGGCGCACGGGUGAGUAUCGCGUUUGUAACCUACCUAUAACUGGAGCAUAGCCCGAAGAAAUUCGGAUUAAUACUCCAUAAAACUAUAAUUUGGCAUCUUUUUAUAGUUAAAGCUCCGGCGGUUAAAGAUGGACAUGCGUAACAUUAGAUUGUUGGUGAGGUAACGGCUCACCAAGUCUACGAUGUUUAGGGGGUCUGAGAGGAUGGUCCCCCACACUGGUACUGAGACACGGACCAGACUCCUACGGGAGGCAGCAGUGAGGAAUAUUGGUCAAUGGGCGCAAGCCUGAACCAGCCAUGCCGCGUGAAGGAUGACGGCGCUAUGCGUUGUAAACUUCUUUUGUACAGGAAGAAACGCUUCUACGUGUAGAAGUUUGACGGUACUGUACGAAUAAGCACCGGCUAACUCCGUGCCAGCAGCCGCGGUAAUACGGAGGGUGCAAGCGUUAUCCGGAUUUAUUGGGUUUAAAGGGUACGUAGGCGGAAAAUUAAGUCAGUAGUGAAAUCCUGCAGCUUAACUGUAGAACUGUUAUUGAUACUGGUUUUCUUGAAUAUAGUUGAGGUAGGCGGAAUGUGUAAUGUAGCGGUGAAAUGCUUAGAUAUUACACAGAACACCGAUUGCGAAGGCAGCUUUACUAAGCUAUGAUUGACGCUGAGGUACGAAAGCGUGGGGAGCGAACAGGAUUAGAUACCCUGGUAGUCCACGCCGUAAACGAUGAUCACUCGUUUGUUGUUGGCAAUACCCAGUCCAGCGCCUGAGGGCGAAAAGCAUUAAAGUGAUCCCCCACCUGGGGGCGUACAGCUC